AGAGUUUGAUCAUGGCUCANAUUGAACGCUAGCGGGAUGCCUUACACAUGCAAGUCGAACGGCAGCACGGACUUCGGUCUGGUGGCGAGUGGCGAACGGGUGAGUAAUGUAUCGGAACGUGCCCAGUAGCGGGGGAUAACUACGCGAAAGCGUAGCUAAUACCGCAUACGCCCUACGGGGGAAAGCAGGGGAUCGCAAGACCUUGCACUAUUGGAGCGGCCGAUAUCGGAUUAGCUAGUUGGUGGGGUAACGGCUCACCAAGGCGACGAUCCGUAGCUGGUUUGAGAGGACGACCAGCCACACUGGGACUGAGACACGGCCCAGACUCCUACGGGAGGCAGCAGUGGGGAAUUUUGGACAAUGGGGGAAACCCUGAUCCAGCCAUCCCGCGUGUGCGAUGAAGGCCUUCGGGUUGUAAAGCACUUUUGGCAGGAAAGAAACGUCAUGGGUUAAUACCCCGUGAAACUGACGGUACCUGCAGAAUAAGCACCGGCUAACUACGUGCCAGCAGCCGCGGUAAUACGUAGGGUGCAAGCGUUAAUCGGAAUUACUGGGCGUAAAGCGUGCGCAGGCGGUACGGAAAGAAAGAUGUGAAAUCCCAGAACUUAACUUUGGAACUGCAUUUUUAACUACCGGC
rnacentral:rRNA from 1 species